AAGGGAGAGUAACGGGUGGUUACUUACCCUCAGGACCGGAAUAGUGUCGGGAAACUGACAGUAAUGCCGGAUAAUAUCUUUGGAUCAAAGGUGUGAUUCCGCCUGGGGAUAGGACCGCUUUCUAUUAGCUUGUUGGCGGGGUAAUGGCCCACCAAGGCUGAGAUGGAUACCGGGUGUGAGAGCAUGGCCCGGCUCACUGGGACUGAGACACUGCCCAGACACCUACGGGUGGCUGCAGUCGAGAAUCUUCGGCAAUGGGCGAAAGCCUGACCGAGCGACGCCGCGUGCGGGAUGAAGGCCUUCGGGUUGUAAACCGCUGUCAGUUGGGAGGAAGGUGCUGUGAAGAGCAGCAUUUGACCGAUCUUCAGAGGAAGGACGGGCUAAGUUCGUGCCAGCAGCCGCGGUAAGACGAACCGUCCGAACGUUAUUCGGUAUCACUGGGCUUAAAGAGUUCGUAGGCGGCCUAGCAGGUGAGGUGUGAAAUCCAACGGCUCAACCGUUGAAUUGCGCUUCAAACCACUAGGCUCGAGGAUGGCAGGGGUGUUGGGAACAGAUGGUGGAGCGGUGAAAUGCGUUGA
rnacentral:rRNA from 1 species